AAGGAUUUGUGACCUGACUUUUUCUGGGCGGAUCAUCCGGGGUUCUCUCCGGUGCACUUCGCCCAGUAAAGGCCAGCAUCGGUUUUCGGCGUGGGAUAAAAGCAGUAGGAAUGUGGCUCUCUACGGGGAGUGUUAUAGCCUAUUGUAUAAUACCGCGCUGGGGACCGAGGUUCGCGCUUCUGCAAGGAUGCUGGCGUAAUGGUUAUCAAUCA
rnacentral:rRNA from 1 species